rnacentral:rRNA from 1 species
CACGUAGGGGGCAAGCGUUGUCCGGAUUUAUUGGGCGUAAAGAGCUCGUAGGCGGCUUAGUAAGUCGGGUGUGAAACCUCCAGGCUCAACCUGGAGACGCCACCCGAUACUGCUGUGGCUAGAGUCCGGUAGGGGAGCGUGGAAUUCCUGGUGUAGCGGUGAAAUGCGCAGAUAUCAGGAGGAACACCGAUGGCGAAGGCAGGUCUCUGGGCCACUACUGACGCUGAGAAGCGAAAGCAUGGGGAGCGAACAGG